AAUCUCCCGCGCCAAACGGAGGCCGCUAUCGGACGAGCGAGCAAGAUGGUCGCCGGAGAGGACGGAGGAGCACCUCUUCCGCCUCUCCGCGGUCUCUGUCUCCGACGCCGAGGGCUUGGUCCUUCCUCCGCUGCCCUUUCUUCUCUACGAAUCGGUGCUAAGCCCUAACUUGUUUCCAUAUUUUGCAUCGGUCAUAUGGAUAAGAAAUUUUCUUUUCUGAACUCAAUUUGAUUGCUCGAUGCUUGAGUCGAAAUGAGUAGAUCAAGGAUGAUCAAAAUUCCAUUUUGGUAACUUGAGAUUGAAAUGGGUAAGACUGAGAUCACAAAUUUUGCUUAAGAGAUUACUUUAAUUGACUAGAAAGCUGUGGAUCGAGACUCAGGGGUACUGCGCACUAUGUAAGACGAAAGAUUUAUUUGUAAUCAUUAUCUGUCUUACCUGUAGAUUUCCAUGCUUUCAGAUCUUUCCUGAAGAGAUAAUCUUGGAUGGAUCAUGUUUAACUUCAAUCUCAUGGUUAAUUCAACGAUACCUAUAUCAUGGAACGCAUACUGUGAAGCAUCAAAAACCUUGCUGAUCUGCAAUAUAAUUUACCUUCCGCGUUAUUCCAAAUCCCAAUUGGUAUUGGUGGAGGGCCGACGGAUGUAGUCGAUUGAUAAUAUGAGUGUUAACGAUGUUGUGCGGGGCAGUCCCCUGAAGCCUGCAUCUGUUGGGCUCCAGGAUUUUAGCCUCUCCUUGAACUCUUUGCAGGCAACUUGACUAAAGCCCACUCCUCCAACCUCACAAGCUUUGACAUGUUUACGCAUACAUGAGUUAUCCUCGAACUUGAUUCUUUCAGAGGAUCGUCUUCUUCAUUUUAGUGCCUUCUUUUUACUAUGGGUUCUUGUAAUCUGUCCUAAACUUUUGCCUGCUUGGACACGCAACCAAACACUUGUCGACCAUUCAUUUAGCCCAUACUGUGAUCUCAACCACAUUCCGACUUGGCUUUUGGAUUUGAAAUGGCAUGUUCGUGACUUACUGUCUGCAAGAUGCCUGCAGAUAUGGGGAAGCUUACAUCUCUUCAGGUGCUGGACCUUGUGGACUACUCUGGCAUCUUAGUAGGAUGGCUCUGUUUCACUGUAAGGAUCCAAGAAGGCAUUGAUUCCUUGGGACAGAGUCUCCUGACCUUUCAAUGAGCAAUCCUUCAGGUGCUCCUGCAUGUCCAAGAUGAGAUCAUUGAGCCUCAUGAACUUGUCCGUGACAACUUAUCAGGGAGAAUUAUAUAAGGUAGGCAGUCUAAUACCUUCAGUUGCCAAUCAGGACUUUUGUGGAUGGCCAUUGCAGCAGCUUGAUGGUGCAGCCGAGGAGCGUGGAAAUAGAGAUGCAUAAAAUCCUGUGAAGUUCUGGGCUUUGGAUCCCAUUAGGAUCUGUGGUGGGCUUCUUUGAUGCAGUAAUGGCUUCUGAUGACAAGAAUUGUCUCUCCGUGCAUUCGCAGUGAGCUGCAGUGAAACAAAAAAGGUCCCUCGGUGAGCAAAGACCACAAGUCAUUAGCGAAGGACGGGAUGCUGUCAAGAACUGGAUGUGGCACACAAAACCGAGUACGGUACAAGUGAUGUGACAGACAAGAGAAGGAAAUCUUGCAACGAGAAAGGUGUGGCACUCAUGGAGAACUCGGAAUGGUGGUUGGUGCCUGUUGUCGUUUGUCCUCUUCUCAGCCCAAAUCUUUGACACCCAAAACUGGACCUUUCUCUUUUCUGAACACCCAAGUCCUGCAGCCACCAGUGCAUCAUUCCCUUGCUUGACCUUUCCAUCACUCCAAUGGAUUCUUGCCGGAUCUAGGCAGAUGAGCACCACAUAACCACAGAUAUUUUGUUCUUGAUGCUUACCUCCAAUUGAAUGUUUUUUUUGGCCUUCAAAAAGUUAUUCAUACUCUUGAAGUAUUUCUCCAAAUCUAUUGGCCCUUCCAACUUAGUUUUUCACUACAAGUAUUCUUAUAAAAGUGAACAUUUUACAGAUUAAUUAUUGUUUAUUAUAAUGAUAUUGAGAUUCCAAUUG